AACCAUUCUCACCUGCGGCUAGACCUGCGGAGGGAUCAUUACCGAGUUAGGGUCUCGUCCGCGGACGGCCCGACCUCCCAACCCUUUGUCUACCAUACCCGUUUGUUGCUUCGGCGCGGCCGCGAGGACGCAAGUCCCUCCGCCCGGUUUCACCGCCGGGAGAGCGCCCGCCGAUGGCCCCAACCAAACAAAACUCUUGAUACCAAAAAAUUGUCGUCUGAAAACUUUUAUGAUUAUUAC
rnacentral:misc_RNA from 1 species